rnacentral:rRNA from 1 species
CCUACGGGUGGCAGCAGUGGGGAAUAUUGCACAAUGGGCGAAAGCCUGAUGCAGCAACGCCGCGUGAGCGAAGAAGGCCUUCGGGUCGUAAAGCUCUGUCCUCAAGGAAGCUAAUGACGGUACUCGAGGCGGACGCACCGGCUAACUACGUGCCAGCAGCCGCGGUAAUACGGAGGGGGCUGGCGUUAUCCGGAUUUACGGGGCGUAAAGGGUGCGUAGGUGGUUUCUUAAGUCAGAGGUGAAAGGCUAGGGCUCAACCUUAGUGAGCCGUUGAAACUGGGUUACUUGAGUGAAGGAGAGGUGAGUGGAAUUCCUAGUGUAGCGGUGAAAUGCGUAGAUAUCAGGAGGAACACCAGUUGCGAAGGCGGCUCUCCGGAGUGUAACUGACGCUGAGGCACGAAAGCGUGGGUAGCAAACAGGAUUAGAUACCCGGGUAGUC